CUGGCGGGCGUGCCUAAUACAUGCAAGUCGAACGGUCUUUUCUAUGGAAGCUUGCUUCCACUGAGAGGAUAGUGGCGAACGGGUGAGUAACACGUGGGUAACCUGCCCAUAAGAGGGGGAUAACAUCCGGAAACGGGUGCUAAUACCGCAUAGUUUUCUUGAUCGCAUGAUUGAGAAAGGAAAGACGGCCUUUGUGCUGUCGCUUAUGGAUGGACCCGCGGCGUAUUAGUUAGUUGGUGAGGUAACGGCUCACCAAGACGAUGAUACGUAGCCGACCUGAGAGGGGGAUCGGCCACAUUGGGACUGAGACACGGCCCAAACUCCUACGGGAGGCAGCAGUAGGGAAUCUUCCGCAAUGGACGAAAGUCUGACGGAGCAACGCCGCGUGAGUGAAGAAGGUUUUCGGAAUCGUAAAACUCUGUUGUCAGAGAAGAACAAGUUGGAGAGUAACUGCUCCAGCCUUGACGGUAUCUGACCAGAAAGCCACGGCUAACUACGUGCCAGCAGCUGC
rnacentral:rRNA from 1 species